UAUCACAGCCAGCUUGGAUCAGG
rnacentral:miRNA from 1 species